rnacentral:rRNA from 1 species
AUUGAACGCUGGCGGAAUGCUUUACACAUGCAAGUCGAACGAUGAACCUUAGCUUGCUAAGGGGAUUAGUGGCGAACGGGUGAGUAAUAUAUCGGAACGUGCCUUGUAAUGGGGGAUAACUAGUCGAAAGAUUAGCUAAUACCGCAUACGCCCUGAGGGGGAAAGUAGGGGAUGUUCGGACCUUACGUUAUAAGAGCGGCCGAUAUCUGAUUAGCUAGUUGGUGGGGUAAUGGCCUACCAAGGCGACGAUCAGUAGCUGGUCUGAGAGGACGACCAGCCACACUGGAACUGAGACACGGUCCAGACUCCUACGGGAGGCAGCAGUGGGGAAUUUUGGACAAUGGGCGCAAGCCUGAUCCAGCCAUUCCGCGUGAGUGAAGAAGGCCUUCGGGUUGUAAAGCUCUUUCGCAAGGGAAGAAAACUUACCAUCGAAUAAAUGGUGAGGCUGACGGUACCUUGAUAAGAAGCACCGGCUAACUACGUG